rnacentral:rRNA from 1 species
UGGGGAAUCUUCCGCAAUGGGCGAAAGCCUGACGGAGCAACGCCGCGUGAGUGAAGACGGCCUUCGGGUUGUAAAACUCUGUGAUUCGGGACGAAAGAUAAGCAGACGAAUAAUCUGCAUAAGUGACGGUACCGAAAAAGCAAGCCACGGCUAACUACGUGCCAGCAGCCGCGGUAAUACGUAGGUGGCAAGCGUUGUCCGGAAUUAUUGGGCGUAAAGCGCGCGCAGGUGGUUUAGAAAGUCUGAUGUGAAAGCCCACGGCUCAACCGUGGAGGGUCAUUGGAAACUAAUAAACUUGAGUGCAGGAGAGAAAAGUGGAAUUCCUAGUGUAGCGGUGAAAUGCGUAGAGAUUAGGAGGAACACCGGUGGCGAAAGCGGCUUUUUGGCCUGCAACUGACACUGAGGCGCGAAAGCGUGGGGAGCAAACAGG